GGCGCUGUGGCUCAAGUGGUAGAGCACUUGCCUUGAGCCCAAGAGCCGAGGGACAGCGCCC
rnacentral:tRNA from 1 species